rnacentral:rRNA from 1 species
GACGAACGCUGGCGGCGUGCUUAACACAUGCAAGUCGAACGGAAAGGCCCUGCUUGCAGGGUACUCGAGUGGCGAACGGGUGAGUAACACGUGGGUGAUCUGCCCUGCACUUCGGGAUAAGCCUGGGAAACUGGGUCUAAUACCGGAUAGGAGCCAUUUUUAGUGUGAUGGUUGGAAAGUUUUUUCGGUGUAGGAUGAGCUCGCGGCCUAUCAGCUUGUUGGUGGGGUAAUGGCCUACCAAGGCGGCGACGGGUAGCCGGCCUGAGAGGGUGGACGGCCACAUUGGGACUGAGCUACGGCCCAGACUCCUACGGGAGGCAGCAGUGGGGAAUAUUGCACAAUGGGCGCAAGCCUGAUGCAGCGACGCCGCGUGGGGGAUGACGGCCUUCGGGUUGUAAACUCCUUUCGCUAGGGACGAAGCUUUUGUGACGGUACCUAGAUAAGAAGCACCGGCUAACUACGUG